rnacentral:lncRNA from 1 species
GAUAUAUGUGGAGUAGAGGCGCUCGGGGGGUCCUCUAAGAAGUUUGGCUCUUGGGCCUCAGUUGCAGGUGGCGCAGUGGCCAAUGGAACCGCUUGGACUGGUGGUGAAGGGGCUCUUGGCGUUGGCGAUGAGGGAGGAGGGGCAGGUGUUGACGGUGGUGUUGAAGCUGGAAGAGGGGGUGGGGCAGGGGGAGAAGGUGGUGCCACCCUCUUCCU